CGCGUAGACGGUUUUUUAAGUCUGGAGUGAAAGUCCUGCUUUCAAGGUGGGAAUUGCUUUGGAGACUGGAAAGCUUGAGUGCGGAAGAGGUAAGUGGAAUUCCCAGUGUAGCGGUGAAAUGCGUAGAGAUUGGGAAGAACACCAGUGGCGAAGGCGACUUACUGGGCCGUAACUGACGUUGAUGCGCGAAAGCGUGGGGAGCGAACA
rnacentral:rRNA from 1 species